AUGUGUGUAACGAUCGAAUGUACAAUCUCUGUUGAGGAUUACAUCACAGCAACUGCUUCCAAGCAUCCAGUUUAUAUGCCACACACAGCUGGUAGAUACCAGGCUAAGCGUUUCAGGAAGGUCCCAGUGCCCCGAAUUGUUGAGACGGCUCACCAACUCUCUUAUGAUGCAUGGACGGAACAACGGAAAGAAGCUAAUGGCCGUCCGCAUAAUCAAGCACGCAAUGGAGAUCAUUCAUUUGUUGACUGACCAGAACCCAAUUCAAGUCAUUGUUGAUGCCGUCAUUAACAGUGGGCCCAUUUGGGCCAGGGAAGAUGCAACUCGUAUUGGUUCAGCUGGUGUUGUGAGGCGUCAGGCUGUUGAUAUUUCUCCACUUCGCCGUGUUAACCAGGCCAUUUAUUUGCUGACAACUGGUGCACGUGAGAGUGCUUUCAGGAACAUCAAGACCAUAGCUGAGUGCCUUGCAGAUGAACUCAUCAAUGCUGCCAAGGGUUCUUCAAAUAGCUAUGCCAUUAAGAAGAAGGAUGAGAUUGAAAGAGUUGCCAAGGCCAAUCGUUGAGAGGUUGACAUUGGAACAGAAUUUACAAGGCAAUUUUGGGUUAUGCUGUUUUCUCAUUUCUAUUUUCGUUUAGCACUAUAGUCUCAUGGAAAUGAAAGUGGAUCUGAGUAGCACCACAGCUAUUGCAUGUGGAUUUUAAUUUCUUAAGAGUAUUUUGCUUGUUGAAACUUGAUAUGCUUGGUAUUGUUAUAGAUGUUACAAUUUGAAUUCCUCGGGGAUCUGAUUAGCAGCACCUACUAUUUCUUAUGUAUUUUAAUUUCUCAGUAUUCUCUUCUUUUAGGUAAACAGUGAAGACAUGUCCAGUAGGAUGUGCAUCUUAAUUUGG